rnacentral:rRNA from 1 species
UGGGGAAUAUUGGGCAAUGGGCGCAAGCCUGACCCAGCAACGCCGCGUGAAGGAAGAAGGCCCUCGGGUUGUAAACUUCUUUUAACAGGGACGAAGUAAGUGACGGUACCUGUUGAAUAAGCCACGGCUAACUACGUGCCAGCAGCCGCGGUAAUACGUAGGUGGCAAGCGUUAUCCGGAUUUACUGGGUGUAAAGGGCGUGUAGGCGGGAUGGCAAGUCAGAUGUGAAAACCACGGGCUCAACCUGUGGCCUGCAUUUGAAACUGCUGUUCUUGAGUGAUGGAGAGGCAGGCGGAAUUCCGUGUGUAGCGGUGAAAUGCGUAGAUAUACGGAGGAACACCAGUGGCGAAGGCGGCCUGCUGGACAUUAACUGACGCUGAGGCGCGAAAGCGUGGGGAGCAAACA